rnacentral:rRNA from 1 species
UACGUAGGGUGCGAGCGUUAAUCGGAAUUACUGGGCGUAAAGCGUGCGCAGGCGGUUUUGUAAGCCAGAUGUGAAAUCCCCGGGCUUAACCUGGGAACUGCAUUUGUGACUGCAAGGCUUGAGUGCGGCAGAGGAGACUGGAAUUCCUGGUGUAGCAGUGAAAUGCGUAGAUAUCAGGAGGAACACCGAUGGCGAAGGCAGGUCUCUGGGCUGACACUGACGCUCAUGCACGAAAGCGUGGGGAGCAAACAGG